rnacentral:rRNA from 1 species
UACGGGGGGUCCAAGCGUUGUUCGGAAUCACUGGGCGUAAAGCGCAUGUAGGUGGCUUUUCAAGUCAACUGUGAAAGCCCGGGGCCUAACCCUGGAAGUGCAGUUGAUACUGUUGAGCUUGAGUACGAGAGAGGAUAGUGGAAUUCCUGGUGUAGUGGUGAAAUACGUAGAUAUCAGGAGGAACAUCGGUGGCGAAGGCGGCUAUCUGGCUCGAUACUGACACUGAGAUGCGAAAGCGUGGGGAUCAAACAGG